AGCGAACGCUGGCGGCAGGCCUAACACAUGCAAGUCGAACGAACCUUUCGGGGUUAGUGGCGGACGGGUGAGUAACACGUGGGAACGUGCCUUUAGGUUCGGAAUAACUCAGGGAAACUUGUGCUAAUACCGAAUGUGCCCCUCGGGGGAAAGAUUCAUCGCCCUUAGAGGGGCCCGCGUCCGAUUAGCUAGUUGGUUGAGGUAAUGGCUCACCAAGGCGACGAUCAGUAGCUGGUCUGAGAGGAUGAUCAGCCACAUUGGGACCGAGACACGGCCCAAACUCCUACGGGAGGCAGCAGUGGGGAAUCUUGCGCAAUGGGCGAAAGCCUGACGCAGCCAUGCCGCGUGAAUGAUGAAGGUCUUAGGAUUGUAAAAUUCUUUCACCGGGGACGAUAAUGACGGUACCCGGAGAAGAAGCCCCGGCUAACUUCGUG
rnacentral:rRNA from 1 species